rnacentral:rRNA from 1 species
GAACCUGAAACCGUGUACGUACAAGCAGUGGGAGCACGCUUAGGCGUGUGACUGCGUACCUUUUGUAUAAUGGGUCAGCGACUUAUAUUCUGUAGCAAGGUUAACCGAAUAGGGGAGCCGAAGGGAAACCGAGUCUUAACUGGGCGUUAAGUUGCAGGGUAUAGACCCGAAACCCGGUGAUCUAGCCAUGGGCAGGUUGAAGGUUGGGUAACACUAACUGGAGGACCGAACCGACUAAUGUUGAAAAAUUAGCGGAUGACUUGUGGCUGGGGGUGAAAGGCCAAUCAAACCGGGAGAUAGCUGGUUCUCCCCGAAAGCUAUUUAGGUAGCGCCUCGUGAAUUCAUCUCCGGGGGUAGAGCACUGUUUCGGCAAGGGGGUCAUCCCGACUUACCAACCCGAUGCAAACUGCGAAUACCGGAGAAUGUUAUCACGGGAGACACACGGCGGGUGCUAACGUCCGUCGUGAAGAGGGAAACAACCCAGACCGCCAGCUAAGGUCCCAAAGUCAUGGUUAAGUGGGAAACGAUGUGGGAAGGCCCAGACAGCCAGGAUGUUGGCUUAGAAGCAGCCAUCAUUUAAAGAAAGCGUAAUAGCUCACUGGUCGAGUCGGCCUGCGCGGAAGAUGUAACGGGGCUAAACCAUGCACCGAAGCUGCGGCAGCGACGCUGAUGCGUUGUUGGGUAGGGGAGCGUUCUGUAAGCCUGCGAAGGUGUGCUGUGAGGCAUGCUGGAGGUAUCAGAAGUGCGAAUGCUGACAUAAGUAACGAUAAAGCGGGUGAAAAGCCCGCUCGCCGGAAGACCAAGGGUUCCUGUCCAACGUUAAUCGGGGCAGGGUGAGUCGACCCCUAAGGCGAGGCCGAAAGGCGUAGUCGAUGGGAAACAGGUUAAUAUUCCUGUACUUGGUGUUACUGCGAAGGGGGGACGGAGAAGGCUAUGUUGGCCGGGCGACGGUUGUCCCGGUUUAAGCGUGUAGGCUGGUUUUCCAGGCAAAUCCGGAAAAUCAAGGCUGAGGCGUGAUGACGAGGCACUACGGUGCUGAAGCAACAAAUGCCCUGCUUCCAGGAAAAGCCUCUAAGCAUCAGGUAACAUCAAAUCGUACCCCAAACCGACACAGGUGGUCAGGUAGAGAAUACCAAGGCGCUUGAGAGAACUCGGGUGAAGGAACUAGGCAAAAUGGUGCCGUAACUUCGGGAGAA